UACGUAGGGAGCAAGCGUUGUCCGGAUUUACUGGGUGUAAAGGGUGCGUAGGCGGACUUUUAAGUGAGAUGUGAAAUACUCGGGCUCAACUUGAGUGCUGCAUUUCAAACUGGAGGUCUAGAGUGCAGGAGAGGAGAAUGGAAUUCCUAGUGUAGCGGUGAAAUGCGUAGAGAUUAGGAAGAACACCAGUGGCGAAGGCGAUUCCCUGGACUGUAACUGACGCUGAGGCUCGAAAGCGUGGGGAGCAAACAGG
rnacentral:rRNA from 1 species